GACGAACGCUGGCGGCGUGCCUAAUACAUGCAAGUCGAACGGUCUUUUCUAUGGAAGCUUGCUUCCACUGAGAAGAUAGUGGCGAACGGGUGAGUAACACGUGGGUAACCUGCCCAUAAGAGGGGGAUAACAUCCGGAAACGGGUGCUAAUACCGCAUAGUUUUCUUGAUCGCAUGAUUGAGAAAGGAAAGACGGCCUUUGUGCUGUCGCUUAUGGAUGGACCCGCGGCGUAUUAGUUAGUUGGCGAGGUAAUGGCUCACCAAGACGAUGAUACGUAGCCGACCUGAGAGGGUGAUCGGCCACAUUGGGACUGAGACACGGCCCAAACUCCUACGGGAGGCAGCAGUAGGGAAUCUUCCGCAAUGGACGAAAGUCUGACGGAGCAACGCCGCGUGAGUGAAGAAGGUUUUCGGAUCGUAAAACUCUGUUGUCAGAGAAGAACAAGUUGGAGAGUAACUGCUCCAGCCUUGACGGUAUCUGACCAGAAAGCCACGGCUAACUACG
rnacentral:rRNA from 1 species